UAUUUGAAUCACUCGCAAAUCGCGAUUAUUUGAAACUCGAACAAAAUAUACAGACUACAGGACAGUCGUAUAGAGUUCUAUUCAUACAAUUUAAUAUAAAAUCACCAUGGAUAAGUGUAUUCUUUUCAGUAAAACAUCCAAAGUAUCGCCUCGCCACAUAACGUACAUUUUCAUUUAUUUCCAAAAAAUCAAUGAAAUAGAAGGGAAUAACGGCUAAAAAUGUUCGAAUUAAAUGAUCGUCUCAAUAAUUUCUACCUGGCAUAGAAUCUGCGGUAGGUAAUCAUUUCACAAUUAGUGAUGGUAAACAAUGCUCAGUAAAUUAGUUAACACGGUCAGAGGCUGUGUCAAAACAUAAUCCAAACCACUUGUCUGGGAUAGAGAAGUAAAAUAAAUGUUAGUGAUUCACGGCAAUAUUGGUACUACUCUGCGCACGACUAGUAAAUCGCAUCUA